rnacentral:misc_RNA from 1 species
GUGAGUCAUCGAAUCUUUGAACGCACCUUGCGCCCUCUGGUAUUCCGGAGGGCAUGCCUGUUUGAGUGUCAUGUAGACUCAAUCCCUCGGGUUUCCGAGGAGAUUGGACUUGGGUGUUGCCGCUCUGCCGGCUCGCCUUAAAAGACUUAGCGGGAUAGCACCGUAGUCGGCGUAAUGAGUUUCGUCGGUGAAGGUUGUGAUGACUGCUUACAAUCGCCCUUGGGCAAUUUUUGACUCUGACCUCAAAUCAGGUAGGACUACCCGCUGAACUUAAGCAUAUCAAUAAGCGGAGGA